AACACACUCCCUCCGUCCGGAAAUACUUGUCCUAGAAAUGGUUGUAUCUAGACUUAUUUUAGUUAUAUAUAUAUCCAUUUAAUCCAUUUUUAGGACAAGUAUUUCCGGACGGAGGGAGUACAUU
rfam:Triticum aestivum genome assembly, contig: Triticum_aestivum_CS42_TGACv1_scaffold_576807_7BL